GAGAAUGUAGCUCAGCGGUAGAGUACUUGCCCGGCAGGCAUGAAGCCCUAGGUUUAAUACCUAGUAUCA
rnacentral:tRNA from 1 species